UACAGAGGUCUCAAGCGUUGUUCGGAUUCAUUGGGCGUAAAGGGUGCGUAGGCGGCGCGGUAAGUCGGGUGUGAAAUCUUGGAGCUUAACUCCGAAACUGCAUUCGAUACUGCGUGGCUAGAGUGCUGGAGAGGAGACUGGAAUUUACGGUGUAGCAGUGAAAUGCGUAGAUAUCGUAAGGAAGACCAGUGGCGAAGGCGAGUCUCUGGACAGCAACUGACGCUGAGGCACGAAGGCCAGGGGAGCAAACGGG
rnacentral:rRNA from 1 species